UACAGAGGUGGCAAGCGUUGUUCGGAAUUACUGGGCGUAAAGGGCGCGUAGGCGGCCUUGUAAGUCCUGUGUGAAAUCCCCCGGCUCAACUGGGGAACUGCACAGGAGACUGCUUGGCUUGAGUUCGGGAGAGGGAAGCGGAAUUCCGGGUGUAGCGGUGAAAUGCGUAGAUAUCAGGAGGAACACCGGUGGCGAAGGCGCUCAUCUGGCCCAAUACUGACGCUGAAGCGCGAAAGCUAGGGGAGCAAACGGG
rnacentral:rRNA from 1 species